GGACCCAUGGUGGGAUAUUACCACCAGUGAUGUUCAACUUUUUGGCCCAUUCUGGAGAUUCUUUCAUCACCAUUACUAUCAAUAUGGUGAUCACUGCAACACCAACCAAUAUCCUGGUAAUAGGUUGGAUCAACGAGUCCUAUAAACAGACGACAAACUAUUAGAAUCACAUCUAUGCAUAGAACAACCUAUUUUGUGAAGAACCAUGUGAAGUAUGGUCAUUUUAGUGACAAGAAUGCCUUGGUAAAGUCAUUUUAUGACAUUUUCACAUCUAGUUCAGCUUUCUUGGACUGAGAAAUGCAACUUGCUUAUAUAGAAAGGACAAUUUAAUCUCAGUUAACUAUGGAGAGUGCAAAGCAGUUCCCUUUCAUGCUCUCAUGGUUAGGGCCUGCCAAAGUGGACCUUAUUUAUCUUAACAUGGAUUUUUUUCCCUGAUAAGGGAUUCAUAGAAGAAUUUCUUUAUCUUAAAAUAAGCUCUCCCUGUUUGCCAAUUUUUUAUUCAAAUGAAAGCGCUCAGGAGAACCAGCAGUAACAUAAUUUGAUAUCCUUUCAACAGUUUCAGGGAAGUGUUCAACAAGGUUCAAAGUUCACAUUGCAUUUCAAGAAAACCUCUUGCAAACAAUUCAAGAUAUAACUGGGUAACUGCAGAUCAUGUUUCUACUCAUGUUUACAGAACGAUCAAAUUGACACAAAGAGCCCAACUAUUUUGGUAUUGCAAUUUUCGACAUUGAAAUGCCAAACUGCAAAACUCAGCACAUAAACCUUCCUCAACUAGGCAGUUUCUGAUUCCUUUCCAGAGAUACUCAGUUUCAGUUCUGAUGUUAAAAUUAAGUAUUGUGAAGGCUCUGAUCACAAAAAGCUCACUAAAAAAAAUUGGAAAUUGCCUGAGGAAUAGCUUUUUAAAAGAUAGAAAGAACUAGAUGACACCUUGAAAAUAUAAGCUUAUCCAUUCAAAUGACUAAUCAAUGAACAACUAUUGAGCCUUCUACAAAAAAUACAAAGUAGACUGCAUAUGAACAUAAAUCAGAAGGUGUGGGAAUUCAUAGUCUAAUUGAUACAUAUGUUUUGUCUGCUAAGCCUAGAGAGAAAAUACAUUUCCCCAGGCUGUUAAUAUCCCAGAACUUGUUUCGCCUGCGGCGCAGUUGUUGUUGCUAAUUUCCUGCCUACAUCAUUCUUUUUCCAUUGAAAACAGGUGAGUAUUAAACAACUAUUUUUUCAUUAACACAGAUAAGACAUCACAAAGCUGUCACAUAUAAUUUUCUUUUUUAACAAGGACCAUACAGCUUGUAUAAUUGGAAAUAUUGCAUCGUCCGUUCCAUACUUCCUUGCUUGGUAAACCUUAUAAGGUAUAUCAAUUUCCCUAAAGGUUAAUUUCCCCUCUAAACAUCAACUUUAUCCAUUAAAAAGGAAAGACCUUCAAGACAUAUCAAACCCUCAUAUAGAGGCAUACAAGUCAGAGACUCUUUCUCAAGCUCGAACAAUCAAGCCUGACUCAUACCUUGUGACAUUUCUUAAAGGACACUUCACCGCAUUCUUGAAAGGGAUAACCAUCCUUAUGACAUUCCACUGUAUAAAGUGGAUAACCAUCCAAUCUCAACACUUCUCAAAUAAGCUCUAGGUUGGUCUUGUUUAAGUAAGAUGAACAUGACAUGCCAUUUUUCAAAAACAGGUGAAGAUGACAAAAAAUAAAAGCUUCCCCACUCACAGCCAGGCUGUAAUAGAGUAAGCAAAACUUCACAGGAGUACCAUCACACCAUUAAUUUAAGUUUCAGUCUCAACUAAUAACUCUUUUCCAAAAUUCACCAGUUGGAAAAAAUAAAGUGCAAAAUACAGGUAACUCCUACACCUACUGCCAAAUCCACUUCCUCCGAGAGACUCAAGAUCUAUCAUAUCCAAGCACUAUAUUUGUCUCCAAACUUAAAUCACCAAGAAAAUUGAUGGUACAAUCUUUAGUGUCAAUCCCAAAUGUCAAUUUGCCCAAAAGUACAUCAUGUUUUUCCAAAUUUCAUCCUCUCAGUGUCGUUCAUGCAAUAUUACCAUAUGUCUCAAAAUAGACAAAUUUUCCUAAUUCAUAUAUCUUCAAAGUUGUCCAAACUCUAUCCUAGUUCACAGAGAGUUAAAGAUACAUGUAUGGUUUGGUAGGCUGCAUAAGCAAAAAAACGAUACCAGCAUAAAAUUCUGACUAAUUUUACAAUUGUUUUGCAACAUAAACUGCUGCAAUACUAAUUUAAUCACUGGGACAUUAAUAAAAAAAUUCAAAUUUUGGUAUAGAGCUCAGCAUAACUAUUGCAAUGUUAUGGUUUUCAAUAUUUAACUCCCGUAUUGAUAAUACCUGCAUGAGUUAUGUGAAAAUCUAUCUAUCACUUUAUCUAUGAUAAAGUAGGGGAUAGUUAUAUGUGUAUUAACAAAACACAAAAUGCACUUAAUCUAGGCAAUCCCUACACAACAAUUCAUGCAAUAUCAAAAAUCAGAAAUCAUAGAACAAUCAGUACAUAUUAUUGACUAUAUAACGACUGCUUAUUAAUUAUUUAUUGCAUGACAAAAUAUGGAUUAUAAUCCUAUAUUCCUAUAUAACUAUCACGCUAACAAAACUAUUACUAAGUGAAUAAGAAAUCUAUCUGAAUUGUAGCAUCAAGGAUGUGACUAGUAGUCGUGGAACGAGAACCAGGAGGUCAAAAAAUACUACUAUGUGAUUUCUUCCCAUCUAUGGAAGACUUGAUGGAUAGAGUUACCCAAUACCUAUAUUGGUGGGAGGCAGCAAGAACCAGGUGCAGGCAAGCUGUCCCUGACACCACUGCUAAAAAAUAUAGCUGAAUUUCAUCACAUCUAACUCAAACAAUAGUGCAAUAAAGUCCAAAAGAAACAAAUUAUGGGACAACAGAUAAGGAGCACAAAUUAUAACAGGCCAUAUACUUAAUUGUGAAUUGUGUGAGAUGAUUGUACCUUAGGUUCUCCAUCAAUAUGGAUCUCGGAUCCAUCUCUAUAGGUUAGAAUCGAUCGGCCGUUACGGGGAUUGAAUCUGAUAGGGACACCUCGGCCCGUCUCCGGUUUGAAUGCAUAGACCGAUUUAAG
rnacentral:lncRNA from 1 species